CGGGUGGCUGCAGCAGUGAGGAAUAUUGGGCAAUGGAGGCAACUCUGACCCAGCCAUGCCGCGUGCAGGAAGACGGCCCUCUGGGUUGUAAACUGCUUUUGUUUGGGAAUAAACCCUUCUACGUGUAGAAGGCUGAAGGUACCUUACGAAUAAGGAUCGGCUAACUCCGUGCCAGCAGCCGCGGUAAUACGGAGGAUCCAAGCGUUAUCCGGAUUUAUUGGGUUUAAAGGGUCCGUAGGCGGAUCUUUAAGUCAGUGGUGAAAGCCCACAGCUCAACUGUGGAACUGCCAUUGAUACUGGAGAUCUUGAGUGUAGUAGAAGUAGGCGGAAUAGGGCAUGUAGCGGUGAAAUGCAUAGAUAUGCCCUAGAACACCGAUUGCGAAGGCAGCUUACUAUGUUACAACUGACGCUGAGGGACGAAAGCGUGGGGAGCAAACAGGAUUAGAUACCUAGUAGUC
rnacentral:rRNA from 1 species